rnacentral:rRNA from 1 species
CGUUAUACAAUUGAUGUAAAUUAAUAUUUUUGGUUUAAUUGAAGUUUAAUUUAUUUUUUGUUUAAUAUUUAAAAUUUUCGGUGAAAUUUUUAUUUUUAAUUAAUCUUUUUUUGGUUCUUUCGAAAAUAUUUAAUUGUUAAACUAGGAUUAGAUACCCUAUUAUUUUUUUUUGUUAAAUUUUUACCUGGGUAGUAUUAGUUAUAUUCUUUAAACCUAAAGAGUUUGGCGGUAUUUUAUUCUUUUCAGAGGAAUUUGCCCCUUAAUCGAUAGUCCCCGUUUUAUCUUGCUUUAUUUAUUUAGUAUGUAUAUCGCCGUUAUAAGGUUAUUUUAUUAGAAUUAUUUUCUUUAAUCAUUAUUUUGAUUUAUUUCANGNCA